AUUGAACGCUGGCGGCAUGCCUUACACAUGCAAGUCGAACGGCAGCACGGGAGCUUGCUCCUGGUGGCGAGUGGCGAACGGGUGAGUAAUACAUCGGAACGUACCCUGAAGUGGGGGAUAACGUAGCGAAAGUUACGCUAAUACCGCAUAUUCUGUGAGCAGGAAAGAGGGGGGAUCGCAAGACCUCUUGCUUUAGGAGCGGCCGAUGUCGGAUUAGCUAGUUGGUGAGGUAAAGGCUCACCAAGGCGACGAUCCGUAGCGGGUCUGAGAGGAUGAUCCGCCACACUGGGACUGAGACACGGCCCAGACUCCUACGGAGGCAGCAGUGGGGAAUUUUGGGACAAUGGGCGCAAGCCUGAUCCAGCCAUGCCGCGUGAGUGAAGAAGGCC
rnacentral:rRNA from 1 species